AGGGAGGGAAUGGGAGGACGCUUGCGGGAUAGGGAGGCGGGGGCUGGAAAUUGGCAGGGUGAGAACUGGGGAAACUAGUUUGGGACGCAGCCCUCCUUGUCCCCCUUCUUCAUUCACCCCCUUGUUGAGGCCCUUGGCUUUUGCAUAAUACACCCUUUAAAAAAAUGUAUUUAAAGAGGCUGGUUCCUAUCCAUCCGACUGGAGGCAUCUCAGUGCAAGAGCAAAGCUAAGUCCUGCACACGCACCUCCCCUCCUCCUCCUCCUUCUCCCCCCAGGUUUUCCCGAAUGUAUCUACUCCGGUUACAACUAGACGCGGCCCCUCCCCCACCUGCCUCCCCCCUUCCUUCCCUCGAUCGUGGAGGGAGCGUUCUCUGUGCCUUCCCAAGUCCCCGUGGGGUCCUUCUAUGUUGGAGUGGGGUGAGGGGGGGAGGUUCAUAUAACGAAGGCCAGAAAGAACAAAUUAGAUAAUCGAAAGAAUUAUAGUAAUUGCUUUCACUUUCCCCCGCCCGCUCAGCGGAUUCCCUCCCCCGCCCCUCCCCUGG
rnacentral:lncRNA from 1 species